AGGCAGUGAACAUCAGGACAUACCUCUUGUGGAUGAUAAGGGGCCCAGAGUGUCGUCUUUGCUGGUUUACAACCACAAAGACACAAUCCAUCAAUCACAUGGGAUUCCCUUAUCAUACCACCACAGAGGACUGUUUCACUGGCAUACAGGUUGAAUCUGGGAGGGUUACAGAAUUUAUUUCCUGUAACCGAGUGGAGACCGACAUCAUCGUGCCAGGUUUUUAUUAUGUGCAAACCAUUAAACAGGUGAC